rnacentral:tRNA from 1 species
AGGGUGUUAGUUAAAUGAAUAACUUUACCUUGUCAAGGUAAGAUUGUAAGUGCAGACCUUGCACACCCUA